AUUGAACGCUGGCGGCAGGCUUAACACAUGCAAGUCGAGCGGGGGAAGGUAGCUUGCUACCGGACCUAGCGGCGGACGGGUGAGUAAUGCUUAGGAAUCUGCCUAUUAGUGGGGGACAACAUCUCGAAAGGAUGCUAAUACCGCAUACGUCCUACGGGAGAAAGCAGGGGAUCUUCGGACCUUGCGCUAAUAGAUGAGCCUAAGUCGGAUUAGCUAGUUGGUGGGGUAAAGGCCUACCAAGGCGACGAUCUGUAGCGGGUCUGAGAGGAUGAUCCGCCACACUGGGACUGAGACACGGCCCAGACUCCUACGGGAGGCAGCAGUGGGGAAUAUUGGACAAUGGGGGGAACCCUGAUCCAGCCAUGCCACGUGUGUGAAGAAGGCCUUAUGGUUGUAAAGCACUUUAAGCGAGGAGGAGGCUGCUUUAGUUAAUACCUAGAGAUAGUGGACGUUACUCGCAGAAUAAGCACCGGCUAACUCUGUGCCAGCAGCCGCCGUAA
rnacentral:rRNA from 1 species